rnacentral:rRNA from 1 species
UGGGGAAUAUUGCACAAUGGGGGAAACCCUGAUGCAGCAACGCCGCGUGAGUGAAGAAGUAUUUCGGUAUGUAAAGCUCUAUCAGCAGGGAAGAAGAUGACGGUACCUGACCAAGAAGCCCCGGCUAACUACGUGCC